UCGUAACAAGGUCUCCGUAGGUGAACCUGCGGAGGGAUCAUUACACAAAUAUGAAGGCGGGCUGGAACCUCUCGGGGUUACAGCCUUGCUGAAUUAUUCACCCUUGUCUUUUGCGUACUUCUUGUUUCCUUGGUGGGUUCGCCCACCACUAGGACAAACAUAAACCUUUUGUAAUUGCAAUCAGCGUCAGUAACAAAUUAAUAAUUACAACUUUCAACAACGGAUCUCUUGGUUCUGGCAUCGAUGAAGAACGCAGCGAAAUGCGAUAAGUAGUGUGAAUUGCAGAAUUCAGUGAAUCAUCGAAUCUUUGAACGCACAUUGCGCCCUUUGGUAUUCCAAAGGGCAUGCCUGUUCGAGCGUCAUUUGUACCCUCAAGCUUUGCUUGGUGUUGGGCGUCUUGUCUCUAGCUUUGCUGGAGACUCGCCUUAAAGUAAUUGGCAGCCGGCCUACUGGUUUCGGAGCGCAGCACAAGUCGCACUCUCUAUCAGCAAAGGUCUAGCAUCCAUUAAGCCUUUUUUUCAACUUUUGACCUCGGAUCAGGUAGGGAUACCCGCUGAAC
rnacentral:rRNA from 1 species